rnacentral:rRNA from 1 species
GUAGGGUGCGAGCGUUAAUCGGAAUUACUGGGCGUAAAGCGUGCGCAGGCGGUUCGUUGUGUCUGAUGUGAAAGCCCCGGGCUCAACUUGGGAAUGGCAUUGGAAACUGGCGAGCUAGAGUGUGGCAGAGGGGGGUGGAAUUCCGCGUGUAGCAGUGAAAUGCGUAGAGAUGCGGAGGAACACCGAUGGCGAAGGCAGCCCCCUGGGCUGACACUGACGCUCAGGCACGAAAGCGUGGGGAGCAAACAGGAUUAGACACCCUGGUAGUCCACGCCCUAAACGAUGUCAACUGGUUGUUGGGAGGGUUUCUUCUCAGUAACGUAGCUAACGCGUGAAGUUGACCGCCUGGGGAGUACGGUCGCAAGGUUG